rnacentral:misc_RNA from 1 species
AACGCACAUUGCGCCCCCUGGUAUUCCGGGGGGCAUGCCUGUCCGAGCGUCAGUAACGCCCCUCGAGCCCUCGGGCUCGGUCUUGGACCCCGCGGCCCCCGCGGGUCCUGAAUCCAGUGGCAGCGCCGCGAGGCUCCCGAGCGCAGUAACAACGCACCGCUCCGGGCGCCCGCGAUCGCUGGCCAGCCAUCCCAACCCUUCAGGUUGACCUCGGAUCAGGUAGGAGUACCCGCUGAACUUAA